CUUUACCGGGACUAUGUGCUCCUAUGUCUUUAUUGGCUGUUACAGAAUGAGUGGCAGGCAGAUUGGUUAUGAAAAUAUGGCCCCCGACGGAGAGGGUCGAGAUCCCAGGAAACCUAGACUCAGCAGAGCCUCUACCGGCACCCCGCCUCUUUCCAGCGCCCCAGCUGGAGAAGGGGCCGGCACCCCCGCCCAACCGCGAUGCCUAAAGAGGAAGCUGCGUGGCCCCUUGCGUGCUGUGGCUGCUUCUCCCAAGUACAGGAGGCACGUGCGCUUCUGCGUUUUCCCGACAGGCGGCGCUGUUCUAAUGAAGGAUAACCCAGGCUGCUCUCUACAUCUCAAGAGCUUGAGGACCAGCCCAGCUGCAAAGCAUCUGUCAUGUCAUGUUCUGUGAACUCAGAUGCCAUCCUGAGAGUCACCAUUCAUCCCAGCUCCAGCAUCAUUUAAUGAACUUUUACAAAUGUUUCCAUUGGGUACCCCAAGUUCCCCUGAGGAUGCAGAGUGCUUCAUCACCUGUGGGGAGCACUCUCAGACCCCUUGGCAGUAAGUCACUUCUCCUACUCUACCCACCAGAGACAAACACUUGUGUCUUCACUUCCUACUGAAAAUGAAUUAAUAGCCCUUCAACCUUUGGCUCUGGCUUCUCCUACUUAGCAAAGCAUCACUGGGAUUUGUCCACACUAUGUCAGUAUCAUCUUUUUUAAAUUGCUGAGUAGUAUUCAAGCUAGACAAGCCUUAGUCAACUUAUCCUGCCCCCUCCUGUUGAUGGCAUUAUGAUCUUUGUUGCUGACAUUGUUUAUCCCCUGGCUUGUAAUAUCCUCCUUGUCAUUGACCUGUGGACCCCACACAAAAUCACACCCAUAAGCCUUCCAAGACGCAGUGCGAAGGCUGGGGCUUUGAAAAACACUUUGUAAUCCACUGCCACACCUCAGCUCAGGGGACUGCUCCCUCCUCCCAACUUGUUCAUACUUUGACCUUUGUCCUUGACUGUUUUAUGAUCCUCACUUGUUUAUAGAUUUGACUCCUAUUACUGCAGCCCACACCGCAGAGGGCAGGAACCAGGGGGUUUCACUCUGCCUUAUACCUGGAGCUGCCUGGAGCAGGAGAGGCACAGGCCUGGCAAGCUGAAACCAAUCCUACCUUUUCCACCAUUAACAUAAUGAUCCUCAUGGGUUGUGAAUAAAAUGUCCCCACAAAGCUCUUGGCA
rnacentral:lncRNA from 1 species